GUCCAGCUCAUGGGAUGCUGCUGCUUACAUUCAAGCUGAGUCUUCCCUCCUGAGUUAAAGUUUUCUAGAAACUUUGUGGAUAUACCUAGAGGUAAGUUACUCCCACCAGGUUUUGUUCUUACCUGGACAUCAGACAAGGUUGGAUUCAUAAGGUUUCUGGUUUACCCCAACUCAUGCAUUUGGGAGCAAGAAGAAGCUGUUGAAGGAUAUCAAGCAAGAAGGCGAGUUGUAUGGAAUGGUGACACUUGUGCUUUGUAAUGAUGGUAUGGCAGGAAUUGGAGAGAGAGAAGAGCAGGUUCUGCUCAAAGAGUUGGCUGAGGGUAGGGUGGCAUGGGUGCUGGGGGGGUGUGCUCCUGUCCAAAGUCACUCAAGAGACAAAGAUUAAGGGAGUGGUGGCAGAGAUGAAAAAAAAAGUCGCCUUUACAAAGUAAGGUCUCUACAAUUUGGGGAAAGAUCCAGCUUUUGCAAGUGAGAUGCUAAAAUGUCUCCUUUAUCUUUAGGAUAUUCAGUCUGAUAAAUGACUAGUGAUAUUUGCCAAAGCAGGAAACACUAGUGUUCUAAAAAGAGUUGAAAUCACGGAUAAACAUAAGAUCAAGCAGAAUUAAAAUAAGGAGAAUUAUAUUUUGUGGCCCACCAAACUAGGCGCUAACAAUUCUGUAUGCUGUGGCCUCCAGUCUUCUCUUGCCACUUUAACUUCUGCUGGUCCCAAGGUGUGUUUUCCCCUUAAAAAUAAAUUUGGUAUGUAAGGCAGUAGCUGAAUACAGUUUACACUGAACUUUUGCUUAUAUCUGUUCUUAGUUGGAUUUAAUAGCCAUCGCUUAAGAUCAUGGCUCUGCUGCUCCAUUCACAAGGCCAUUGGUGCUUUCAAAGGAUAUUGAUACUGGGAAUAAUGAUAAUGGCACUGAACUUGUUCCGUUGACUCCUAGGGAGUAUGUGGGAGGUGCCAGUUUACACAAACUAUUUGUCCAGUUUUGGGCUCAUUAAAAUAGUUUUACAAAGAAUUGCUUUUUGCCUUUAUUGAUAAGAGAAGACAAUGGGGCAAUUUGAAAUGAAUGCUGUUUGUUUGGUUUGGUUUUUCAUAACAGGAUUCUCUAUGUAGCCCAAGCUGCCGUGGAAAUCACUCUAUAGACUAAACUGUCCUUGAACUCAGAGAUCACCUGCUGCCUCUAGAGUGCUGGGAUUAAAGGUUUGCACUACCACCACCCAGCUAAAGUGAAUGUUUUUAAACAAUGUGACUAACUUUAACCAUGGCUGACAUCUUUUUCCAUACUAUGACAAUUCAAAAAAAUGCUACAGCUCCAUCUGAACACAUACAUAUUUGAAUAUUUAAAACAAAAUUUAUUUGAGGUUUUUCAGGCUAUUGUCCUACUUGAUGACCUUAGUGUAACCCAGUAAAAGUGGAUGGAUGUACAUUUAAUAUCCUAAUUUUAUCUUGAUAUUUCAGCAACUAUUUGAAUUAUCUGGCUAUCUUUGCAUGAAUUUUCAUUUGCAUAUGAAUGUUUCCAUCAGAAAUGUAAUCAAAUGCAAAUUCAAUUGGAUUUGCAUUAAUAGUCUUUGGGCUUAAAAGGGAGAAAAAUUCUGAUAUUUCUGGAUAGGCAAACUAAACUACAUCUAGAUACACUUCUGGUGUUUGGAGAGGGAAUUUGAUUUGUCGUGCUAGAUUUCUAUAUGAUGUGAGGUGGGUACAAAAGGACUUCAAAUCACAUGCUCUCUUUAAGGAUCAUGUUGGUCAUCUACAGAUCCUGAACACUGAGUAUAUCGACAAGAAAUUAGUAGUUUUUCAAGAAACAUUUACAGAAUUAAUAUGGAAAAUAAUGUGCCUUGAACAUUAUUCUUGGCACUAAAAACAAAACAAAACAUUAAACAAGAUACCUACUAGUUGAGCUAAGAACUUGGAGCUUUGCUCAACUUUAGGUAAUGCAGCAAAGUAUUUCAUGGUAUUCAUAAAUGCUUGCAGGAUUUAGACAGAGCUUCAGUGAAUACCCAAAAGGGUUUUAUGACGAAAUGUCAUUUAAUCCUUGAAGUCUACUGACUUCAUUAGGACUUUCUCUCAUUUGUAUGAGGUGGGUCUGCUACUGAUCAUUCAUCAUCUAACUUAAAUGAGCCAGCAUAUCCACCAUGAAAAGCAGUGGUUUUUAUUACAGUUUUCCUUAGCCUAGACACAACUUUUCAUUUCCACGUGACCAAGCCUUACAGUACCCAAGUAGCUGCUGUUACAGUGUCAUCCUGCUUGUAGUCUACAGAUAAGUUGCUUAUCUGUACUUGAACCCUAAUCAUUGAUUUGUCCAGAAGAGGCCAACAGAUAAAAUUAAAGGGAUACCUUCCUCAUGAUUUUAGGACUUCGUUCCAAAGUGAACAUCAAGGCUCCCCUCUGCCAAGUAACUACAGCUAUGAGAUGCAGAAUGAAGGAGCUGAUGUCUUCCAUUCAGAAAAGGAAGAUUUAUGGGAGUGAAGUGAGAGGGAAAGUGAGAAGAUGGAGCAUUCUGCAGCUCCACACCCAGCUGCUUGUUCUGAGGCCAUGCUACAUCUUCUAGUGACUGUACUGUCACCUCACCUUACAUUAUGUCACCCCAGAACCUUUUUUUCUACUUUAAAGUGUGUAGCAUUCCAGUCUCUGCAAACCAAAACCACACUCCCACAGUACUGGAGCAAGUGACUUGGAGCAUUUUGCUUACUCCAGUUGGCAAGGAUGCAAUUUGGAUUGUAUUUGGAAGUUUGUAUUUUUGUUUUUACAAAGAUUUUAUAACACUGCGUAGAGGAUACAGGAAUGAGGUUGAGAACUUGCUACGAAGUUACAGAAUUCCCCCUGGUAUUUUUCUAGUAUAAAAUCAACCUAAUUUUUUGUUCUUUCCAUAAUCCUCCUCACUCCCUGGCCACCUUGGAAGGACUGCCAAAGCACACUGACAGAGGAUAUUUGCAUGGUAUUUAUCAUCAAACCAUAACAAAAAAUUCACAAGAAAGCUCAAGUAAUUUCUUCCCACAUCUUCUCCCGGGAUUUUGCAUUUAGUCCUAAAAUUUACCCUAAUGUCGUGCAAAUAUCUCAACCUUCCCUAAGGUUAGUUAAACUUUUCUCCAUCCAAAAAGAGAAUGUUAAUUAAAAAUGUUUCCUUGUGGCUAUAUGUAUUUUAAUAUUGGUAGAUAAAUUUCUAGAUCCCUUCAAGCCAGCAAAGCCUUCUCUUUUAAAUAUGUUACUCACUCUUACUAGUCAUGGUUAUUAAUGAUACUUUCAUAAACACCUUUAUGACUGUCUUGGGAAAAUAUUGAUUUUUAAGGUAGAUAAUGUUGAUCUAAACUGACUUUUAAAAUGAUUGCCUAGAAUCAAGCAGUGUUAACAGAGCUCUAAAUGAAAAGGAACCAUUGACUGGUUCACAAAUCAGUCGGUUCCCAUAAUUGAGUUGCUUUGAACGCGUUCUCAAUGACACUAAAAAUGUUUUUUACUUAUAAUUUACAGGUAGAUGAGCUUAUAACAUGACCUGAUACUUACUCUUUUUUUCUUCUGUUUCCUUUUGCCAUUUGUUUUCUGUAUUUAGAACAAGAAGGCAGCUACUCUGUCACCACCAGUUUACUCUCUGGCAUGUUUUCAAUUUUCAUUAAAAACUGAAGAAAUAUAUUUGAAUAUUAUUGUUAAACCAUUUUGGAAAGUGCUAUAAUAAAUGAGUAAUUCUUCUGGGAAAAUCUAGCUUUUAUUCACAUUGCUAUGUCAAAGCAAAGGGGCCAGAAACUGCAGUUGUGUAUGUAACUGUCUUCUUCAUGUAUGUGAAAAUCAAUUUCUUCAGUACUAGUAGAUGAUAAAAAAUAUAAAGCUAUAUUUAAUUUUACAUUGACUUUUCUAGCUUAAGGAAGCACUAACAGAGGUAUAUAAAUUCUCAAGGCUACUCUGUACCAAGUUGACCAAUAAAUACAUGUUAGCAU